AGCGUAGAAAGUGUGAAUUUGCACAUUUACUUUGAAUUCCCUGCGCUACCGCCGCAUUAUGACGAAAAAGAACACAGAACUUUGUGAGAAAGCAACGAAUUUCAACGUAUACGUAUGCCUGCCAACGGCAUGUCGAUCAACUGUACCGUUAUUCAGUGUUGUUUACAAAUCCAAACGGAAGGUUCAUCAAAUUUAACGCAUUUGACUUGUGCAUGGAUCUGCGAUGCUGUAGGUGUUCAAAAAGAAGUCGGCAUGGACUGACAAGGUCAUAAAGGUGGUCAAGAAAUAAAUUGCCAACAGACAGCAGCAUUCCUUGAUUUAGAUGCAUUUCUCUUCAUGCCCUCUCCUGAAAGAUUUUCCAUGAUGCCUCAGGGUUAGGAUUGGGAUGCAAGAUGUACAGUACAUAUAUAUGAUGUCUAUGGGUACAUUGCUGUAAUGGCCUGCAAAAUCUUUUGCGAAAGCGAGAAAUGUUCAUCUUCCAUUCCAUGAUUGUGUAAAAGGACGAGCAGAGGAAUGAUUCAAAAAUAUAUGGCAGGAUUGAGAAUCUAACCCAUGACCCGUAGUCUGGUACUCUACCCACUGAUCAAUCCAUGCUGAUGGUCCAUCUGCUACAUUGAUGUCAUCUUAUAUAUUUAUUUAUUCAUUUAUAUCAUAUGGACAUUUAAAAAAUGACAGUAAAAUAAAAAAAAGUUUGAUAUUCAGCAAAAUAGAAUUUGUUACAAUACAUGUUUAAGAAAUUAAGUACAUGUAUUGUUAUGCAUACAAUUAUGUACAUGUAAUUAUAUUUGUUAAUAGAUAAAUUUUUAGAUGAAUUUUCAUGUUGUUAUUGAUAUUGACAUGUACAUGUAUUACUUCCAUUUCUAGAAUGAUUUUAACAUCUUGAUAUUAAAAAAGAUGACAUAAUAAAUAAAUCUUAAAUA